UCUCUCUCUCUCAAGGACAAGCUGUGAUGGGGAGCGAAAUUUAGUAGCGAAGUUCCUGAUGUCACACUGCCAAGAAAAGCUUCUAGUGAGAAAGUAACUGCCCGUACCGCAAACCGACACAGGUAGUUGAGGAGAGAAUCCUAAGGUGUGCGAGAGAACUCUCGUUAAGGAACUCGGCAAAAUGACCCCGUAACUUCGGGAGAAGGGGUGCUGACCGCAAGGUCAGCCGCAGUGAAUAGGCCCAAGCGACUGUUUAUCAAAAACACAGGUCUCUGCAAAAUCGAAAGAUGACGUAUAGGGGCUGACGCCUGCCUGGUGCUGGAAGGUUAAGAGGAGAGGUUAGCGCAAGCGAAGCUUUGAAUUGAAGCCCCAGUAAACGGCGGCCGUAACUAUAACGGUCCUAAGGUAGCGAAAUUCCUUGUCGGGUAAGUUCCGACCCGCACGAAAGGCGUAACGAUUUGGGCACUGUCUCAACGAGAGACUCGGUGAAAUUAUAGUACCAGUGAAGAUGCUGGUUACCCGCGACAGGACGGAAAGACCCCAUGGAGCUUUACUGCAGUUUGAUAUUGCGUGUUUGUAUCACAUGUACAGGAUAGGUAGGAGCCGAAGAUACCGGGACGCCAGUCUUGGAGGAGGCAACGGUGGGAUACUACCCUUGUGAUAUGACCACUCUAACCCGCUGCUCUUAGCGAGCAGGGAGACAGUGUCAGACGGGCAGUUUGACUGGGGCGGUCGCCUCCAAAAAUGUAACGGAGGCGCCCAAAGGUUCCCUCAGAAUGGUUGGAAAUCAUUCGUAGAGUGUAAAGGCAGAAGGGAGCUUGACUGCGAGACCUACAAGUCGAGCAGGGACGAAAGUCGGGCUUAGUGAUCCGGUGGUUCCGCAUGGAAGGGCCAUCGCUCAACGGAUAAAAGCUACCCUGGGGAUAACAGGCUUAUCUCCCCCAAGAGUUCACAUCGACGGGGAGGUUUGGCACCUCGAUGUCGGCUCAUCGCAUCCUGGGGCUGUAGUCGGUCCCAAGGGUUGGGCUGUUCGCCCAUUAAAGCGGUACGCGAGCUGGGUUCAGAACGUCGUGAGACAGUUCGGUCCCUAUCCGUCGCGGGCGUUGGAAAUUUGAGAGGAGCUGUCCUUAGUACGAGAGGACCGGGAUGGACACACCGCUGGUGUACCAGUUGUUCUGCCAAGAGCAUCGCUGGGUAGCUAUGUGUGGACGGGAUAAACGCUGAAAGCAUCUAAGCGUGAAGCCCCCCUCAAGAUGAGAUUUCCCAUCACUUUAAGUGAGUAAGACCCCUGAGAGAUGAUCAGGUAGAUAGGUUGGGAGUGGAAGUACAGCGAUGUAUGGAGCGGACCAAUACUAAUCGGUC
rnacentral:rRNA from 1 species